CUGAAGGUUUGUCCUAGGUGAAUAGAGUUAUUUCCCUUACAUCAUAUGCACGCUGCAGCCAUGUUUCGCAUCUGAAAAUACUUCUCAUCAUCCAGUGAUGCCAGCUUCUAAGUCGACUGACCCUUGUAAAAAACUAGCUUGCCAAAUCCAGGCAUGCCUACAGGAAAACAGAUACCAAGAAGCAAAAUGCCAAGAAGUUAUUAAUCUAAUGCUUAAAUGUUGUGAAAAAUAUGGUGCUAAGUCCAACUGCUGUGAUGGAUUCAAGGACAUGUGGAAAGAAUUUCCUAAAACUAACAGCUAAUAACCAAUAAACAUUGUUCUGCAAAAAAAAAAAUUUUU